rnacentral:rRNA from 1 species
UACGGUAGGGGGCUAGCGUUGUCCGGAUUUAUUGGGCGUAAAGAGCGUGUAGGCGGCCAGGUAGGUCUGCUGUGAAAACUCGGAGGCUCAACCGUCGAGACGUCGGCGGAAACCAUCUGGCUAGGAGUCCGGAAGAGGAGAGUGGAAUUCCUGGUGUAGCGGUGAAAUGCGCAGAUAUCAGGAAGAACACCCGUGGCGAAGGCGGCUCUCUGGGACGGUACUGACGCUGAGACGCGAAAGCGUGGGGAGCGAACAGG